AGCUUUGCGCAGUGGCAGUAUCGUAGCCAAUGAGGUUUAUCCGAGGCGCGAUUAUUGCUAAUUGAGUAGAAGCAUCACAAGCACAUUUUCUCUGAACCAAAUCUGCCAAAAUAAAGAAAAUGUAUAAAUGUUUUAAACCA
rnacentral:snRNA from 1 species